GACUCUCGGCAACGGAUAUCUCGGCUCACGCAUCGAUGAAGAACGUAGCAAAAUGCGAUACUUGGUGUGAAUUGCAGAAUCCCGUGAACCAUCGAGUUUUUGAACGCAAGUUGCGCCCGAUGCCAUCUGGUUGAGGGCACGUCUGCCUGGGCGUCACGC
rnacentral:rRNA from 1 species